AGUGAACGCUGGCGGUAGGCCUAACACAUGCAAGUCGAACGGCAGCACAGUAAGAGCUUGCUCUUACGGGUGGCGAGUGGCGGACGGGUGAGGAAUACAUCGGAAUCUACUUUUUCGUGGGGGAUAACGUAGGGAAACUUACGCUAAUACCGCAUACGACCUACGGGUGAAAGCAGGGGAUCUUCGGACCUUGCGCGAUUGAAUGAGCCGAUGUCGGAUUAGCUAGUUGGCGGGGUAAAGGCCCACCAAGGCGACGAUCCGUAGCUGGUCUGAGAGGAUGAUCAGCCACACUGGAACUGAGACAAGGUCCAGACUCCUACGGGAGGCAGCAGUGGGGAAUAUUGGACAAUGGGAGCAAGCCUGAUCCAGCCAUACCGCGUGGGUGAAGAAGGCCUUCGGGUUGUAAAGCCCUUUUGUUGGGAAAGAAAAGCAGCAGGUUAAUACCCCGCUGUUCUGACGGUACCCAAAGAAUAAGCACCGGCUAACUUCGUG
rnacentral:rRNA from 1 species